ACUAAGCUGUGGAUACAGUCACAGAUCAAUGGGAGCCUGAGAUAGCACAGUGAAUGGAAGUGUACUGUUGGAUUUGCCAGGUGGAAUCUAGAAAAUAAAGCAAAUAAACCAGAGGGAUCAAGGCUGGUGGGAGCAACAAUAUAAGGGAAGAGGAUUAAGAGCUUUAAGAAUUAAGAUUCUCCUUUAAAGUCUCAGACAAGAUCUUCUGAGACUCAGGACUCAGUUGGGGCCUGCUUUAUCCCUUUAAAG